UAUCCAUCGAAACGCGAGAAUUUUCGCAAUAUGUCAACAUGCCAUCGAUUAUUGACAAAAAAAUCAAAGUGGAGGCAGCAAACUGGGUGACUGCAGGCGCUCAUCAUCUAGGGUUUCUAAGUUCUAGAUGCAAUGUUAGCAUACGGCGAUGAGGAAUGGAGUUGCAUUGCUGUUGCAGAAGACUAUGAGGUGUGCCGAACUCUCAUGCUCCGGUCUUCUUCAUGUAUCCCAAUCACAAUCAUAGUGUGUUGCUUCAAUUGGAAAGUGGGUUUUUUAUACUCCCUCCGUCCAACAAAGGAUGUCUCAAGUUUGACUAAAUUUGAAUGCAUCUAUACACUAAGUCAUGUCUACAUACAUCUAAAUUUUGACAAACUUGAGACAUCUUUUGUUGGACGAAGGAAGUAUUUCUUUUAGAUGAAUGAAUAGUUUUUCUUGUGAUCCGGUCAGUUUUUCUAGAUUUCCGGCAAAUCCCUUGGGAUAUGUUCGGCUUUCAUGUUCAUUGGUGUGGUUUCAAAUCCGACUCUUACGAUUUACGGUUCUCAUCUUUGGCUCACAGCCUACUACAACAAGCUGUCCUUUGUCAAUGCUCGGUUCCAGUAAUGGCAGGGCGAGGACGAUGGCCCGCUUUUGGCUCGUUCUAGUCUAUGUCGUCCAUUAGGUACUUUUAGGGCAAUUUGUACUUCUGUUGAUGAUUAUUAAUAAAUCGGUGGGCCUUUUUGCAAAAAAAAAGUAGUUUUAAGCUACAAUUGUAUUUUUGUUCUACACAUGGACACAUAAAAAUCAGAUACCAAGUGAACGCCACAAUCCCCGGGGAAUUGAACAUCACAAAUUCACAAUGAAAAUCUCUACUUAAUCUAUGAAACACCUACUCUCUUUUUUUUAGAACACAGUACAAACGCAGACGCUCACAACACGCGCAUACACUCAUCCCUACGAACGCACACGCACACCCUACCCAUAUGAGCACCUCCGAAACACUGAGCCGGCAGUUAUUUCAAUAAAAUAGAAAUCUCACCAACCGAUAAGACGUGCAGGAAUAAGAAAUGAUACAGUUUAGUUUUUUAUUAGCCUGUGUUAUCAUGUUCUAUUGGGAACCAGCUAUUUUGGGUCUUCCUCCCAGGAAGGAAGAUGUCACAAAUGCUGCCAAAAAAAAGGUGUCUCAAAUGAGAGGUGGAAAAACAAUAGUGCAAAAAAAAAAACUUUUGCUUAGUGGAGUGGAAAAAAUACUUUUUCUUUUCUUUUGGAAGCAACAAAAUGCAAAAGGCAUCCCGUCUCAGCCGAAGUUAGUACACAGUAGUGAUCUAAUGCGAGUAAGAGCUAAACACUGGAAUACAUUUGGUGCGUGUGCAGCGUGUAUAAGAACUGACAAGACCAUUCUAAUUAUCUAAGCAAACCACCACAAGUAAGAAAAAGGGUGCGGUGCACGAUGAUUGUCAACACCCACUUU